rnacentral:rRNA from 1 species
CUAGAAGGAUUCUUCGGGCCGGAUGGACAUUGGCCCUCGUGUGCAAAGUCACAAGGUAACUAAACAUAUAGACUCACUCAUUGGGCAGGAAUGAAAGUUGGUUUAGUGAUUCAACGGAACGGAGUGAAAUGGAUGGCCAUUGCUCAA